rnacentral:sRNA from 19 species
UUUUUGUUAUGUUAGGUGAGGCUCCUAUAUAGAUAUAUGCUACUGCCCGGAAACAUCGAGAGAUGCCAAUGGGUCAACAGGUAUUACCGAAUUAAGGUUUUACUUAAUGUAGCUGGACAAAAUUUAGUCUAAAGCUAUAUAGUGCUAAAACUCAGACGAUUUAAAAGUUU